UGGGGAAUUUUGGACAAUGGGCGCAAGCCUGAUCCAGCCAUGCCGCGUGAGUGACGAAGGUCUUCGGAUUGUAAAGCUCUUUUGGCGGGGACGAUAAUGACGGUACCCGCAGAAUAAGCCCCGGCUAACUUCGUGCCAGCAGCCGCGGUAAUACGAAGGGGGCUAGCGUUGUUCGGAAUUACUGGGCGUAAAGCGCACGUAGGCGGACUGAUAAGUCAGGGGUGAAAUCCCGGGGCUCAACCUCGGAACUGCCUUUGAUACUGUUAGUCUCGAGUCCGGAAGAGGUGAGUGGAAUUCCUAGUGUAGAGGUGAAAUUCGUAGAUAUUAGGAAGAACACCAGUGGCGAAGGCGGCUCACUGGUCCGGUACUGACGCUGAGGUGCGAAAGCGUGGGGAGCAAACAGGAUUAGAUACCCACGUAGUCCCUGAGCGGGCUGGCAAGGCGCAU
rnacentral:rRNA from 1 species